CUGAUCCAGCCAUGCCGCGUGUGUGAAGAAGGUCUUCGGAUUGUAAAGCACUUUAAGUUGGGAGGAAGGGUUGUAGAUUAAUACUCUGCAAUUUUGACGUUACCGACAGAAUAAGCACCGGCUAACUCUGUGCCAGCAGCCGCGGUAAUACAGAGGGUGCAAGCGUUAAUCGGAAUUACUGGGCGUAAAGCGCGCGUAGGUGGUUUGUUAAGUUGGAUGUGAAAUCCCCGGGCUCAACCUGGGAACUGCAUUCAAAACUGACUGACUAGAGUAUGGUAGAGGGUGGUGGAAUUUCCUGUGUAGCGGUGAAAUGCGUAGAUAUAGGAAGGAACACCAGUGGCGAAGGCGACCACCUGGACUAAUACUGACACUGAGGUGCGAAAUCGUGUGGAGCAAACCGGAUUAGAUACCCUGGUAGUCCACGCCGUAA
rnacentral:rRNA from 1 species